rnacentral:rRNA from 1 species
AAUGAACGCUGGCGGCAUGCCUAACACAUGCAAGUCGAACGAAGGCUUCGGCCUUAGUGGCGCACGGGUGCGUAACGCGUGGGAAUCUGCCCUUGGGUUCGGAAUAACAGUUAGAAAUGACUGCUAAUACCGGAUGAUGACGUAAGUCCAAAGAUUUAUCGCCCAAGGAUGAGCCCGCGUAGGAUUAGCUAGUUGGUGGGGUAAAAGCCCACCAAGGCGACGAUCCUUAGCUGGUCUGAGAGGAUGAUCAGCCACACUGGGACUGAGACACGGCCCAGACUCCUACGGGAGGCAGCAGUGGGGAAUAUUGGACAAUGGGCGAAAGCCUGAUCCAGCAAUGCCGCGUGAGUGAUGAAGGCCUUAGGGUUGUAAAGCUCUUUUACCCGGGAUGAUAAUGACAGUACCGGGAGAAUAAGCUCCGGCUAACUUCGUGCCAGCCGCCGCAGUAACAC